CACAGCUGCACUUGAUCAAAUGUCAGAUGCCCCAAAUAAAUCCAGACAUUUCUUUCGUUGAGAGAAAAAACUGUAGCAGCAAGGCUUAACUAUUAAGAAAG